UAUACUUCCUUUCCAUUUAUCUUGAUGCAUGCUUCCUGCCCUAGAUUUCCUACACAAGAAGAAAUAAUAUAUAAUAAAUGUAUAAUGCAAUAGUUUUCUUUUUGUCUAUUAUGUUCCUUUUAAAUAAGGUACAACCUCAUAGAUCUACAUUCCAUUCCAAAGUCUCACCCAGAAUUGUGCUAGUAAAUGUUUAACAACUGGUUUGAGGAAUGAGGAGGAAGGGGAAUAUGUGCCAGACAUAUUUUUAAAUUUAUUAUGCAUUGACAUUUUCCCCAUCACUCUUUAUUUUGUAUGUGUGAAGAUAGAAUUAACUCUCCCUUUGUCUAUUUUAAGUUAAUCAAAUCAAGAACUUGAAGCACCACUACUUAGCAUUUAGCUAGCCAUUAAGUAAGAGAGUUUACAAGUCACUUACUAGGGAAAGCUCCUCCCUGGGCAGUGCUAGACAAAUUAAAGGCUGCAAUUGGUUCCUGUGAAGAAAGGGAGAGACAGGAAGUGAUUAAAAGGCCAAGCCCAUGGACUAAUUGGGGGGAAGGGCUGAAGAGAGACUCUUAGAGGCAGUCCUUUUUUCCUGAACUGGUCCUUGACUGGAGCAUCCAGCAUGUGCUGGAGAGGCUUUCUGGGUGAGUGACUCGUGCUGAAGUAAGAGGCUUGUGUUGGUGGUUUUCUGGCUGGCUGACUAGUUCUAUGACUAGGACUUCCACUUGGAGAUCAGGACAUGAAGGAACCUGAGCUGAACUUCUUCAGAUCAGCACUUAGGCUGGACUGGACCCUCCAAUUCAAGUCAUUAAAGAGAGAGACAGACCUUAUACUGGCAAAGAAAAAGACUUCACCAAAUAUCCCAGAUCAAGAACACUACUGUUCAUCCUUGAACCCACAGACUCCAUUUUUAAAGGUCUUUUUUGUCUUAAUGGCUUAUGUGAACCAUCUAGGCUACCUUUUAUCAAUGCCUCUCUAGUUUUGAGUGAACUAUUUACUUUGAUCAUUGACAUCCAGGCAAAGAUUAUGUUCCUGACAAUACCAGGAUGGACAUUAAGGGCUGACUACCAUAGCAGUAGUUAAGUGUUAAUACCAUUGUUAACCAUUAAUCCUGAUACCCUGUCUUUGUGGGUAAUAUCUUAAUAGGAAAAAUGUCUUGCUCUCCUCCAACGGUCCCAGAAUUCAGACGGCCGCUGGAUUCGGGAUCUAUUGGCUUCCCUUUCAUAUACUGGAAGACGUUCUGGUAUAUGGAAGUAAGACCUCAUGAAAAACUGAGGGCUCUAGGUUUGACAAUUUCUGUGGACGCGCAGUCAUUGUCUCUCCUAGGUGAAAAAAAAUUAUUAUUGCACAAAAACAUGGAGCAAGGGCAAAGUAUAAUCUAAGUUUUACUGUUUUGGAGUAUGGAUUGAAAACAUGACACAAUAGGCUCAGAUAAGCUUGCAGAAGAAGCACAUUGAAUAUUAUUCACUGACAAUUAGGAAUGAAAAGGCUAUGUCAAAUUCUAUAGGUACAAGAAACUGUAGAAAUUGUUUCUACAUGGAAAACAACUUAAGCUUCUAUUUACCCAAACAUUGGUUUGGUGGAAUGAAUGUUGCAAAUAUUGGUAAUGGUAUAGGCUUGGUUAUCAUAUUGAUGGGUUUAUUUAUACAAGCAGAGAUUUAAAAUAAGGAAGACAUAAGGAAUAUUCAGUCAGAACUUGAAAUAUUACUUCAUUAUCACCAUCAUGGUUAUUUAAGCUACAAUUGAGAAUGUAAAGUGUAUGGGAAUAUUGGUAUUUGUUAAAAAUUGCACUGUGAUUGAUGUAUUGAUGUUUUUGCAAAGCCUGUAAUGGUGCAAAAUUAUGUUCAUAUACAAGGCGAAUUUUGAUCUAUUUA